GCCUGUCCUACAACCGAUAACCCACGAUCAACCUCACCCGCCUUUGCAAUAACAGUCUAUAUACCUCCGUCGCCAGCUCACCUGAAAACAGAAACAAAGCGGGUACAAUAGCUCGUCACUAAGACGACAGGUCAAGGUGUAACUUAUAGGUGGGGCAGAGAUGGGCUACAUUUUCUAAUAUAGAAAAUACCUACCCCGCCAUGAAAUUUGCGCAAAAAGGUGGAUUUAGCAGUAAGUCAGACAAGAAAAGCCUGCCUGAAGCCCGCCCUGAAAUGUGU
rnacentral:rRNA from 1 species